rnacentral:rRNA from 1 species
GACGUAGGGCGCGAGCGUUGUCCGGAUUUAUUGGGCGUAAAGAGCUCGUAGGCGGCUUGUCGCGUCGACUGUGAAAACCCACGGCUUAACUGUGGGCUUGCAGUCGAUACGGGCAGGCUAGAGUUCGGUAGGGGAGACUGGAAUUCCUGGUGUAGCGGUGAAAUGCGCAGAUAUCAGGAAGAACACCAAUGGCGAAGGCAGCUCUCUGGGACGGUACUGACGCUGAGACGCGAAAGCGUGGGGAGCGAACAGG